CUUUUAUAUUUAUCCGAAUAUUGCAUGGCGGGGUUUUAACAGUAUGUUUUUUACUUUUGUCAAUAGUUUGUGUGUAUUUCAAAAGGCCAUCAAAUUAUAAACUUGUUAUCCGGGUUUUUGAUAAAUUUUAGGUUUCCACCAUCACUAAAGACACACGAUAAGAAACAUAACGUCCAGUGCCAAAUAUUUCAUGCAUAAGUUUUAUAGAUUCUUUUUUUUAUGAAUAUUACUGUUAUGUGAUCAACGCCG
rnacentral:lncRNA from 1 species